GGGGUCCUACGGGACGCAGCAGUGGGGAAUAUUGGGCAAUGGGCGCAAGCCUGACCCAGCAACGCCGCGUGAAGGAAGAAGGCUUUCGGGUUGUAAACUUCUUUUCUCAGGGACGAAGAAAGUGACGGUACCUGAGGAAUAAGCCACGGCUAACUACGUGCCAGCAGCCGCGGUAAUACGUAGGUGGCAAGCGUUAUCCGGAUUUACUGGGUGUAAAGGGCGUGUAGGCGGGGAAGCAAGUCAGAUGUGAAAACCACGGGCUCAAACUGUGGCCUGCAUUUGAAACUUGUUUUCUUGAGUA
rnacentral:rRNA from 1 species